UGGGGAAUUUUGGACAAUGGGCGAAAGCCUGAUCCAGCAAUGCCGCGUGUGUGAAGAAGGCCUUCGGGUUGUAAAGCACUUUUGUCCGGAAAGAAAUCCUUGGCUCUAAUACAGUCGGGGGAUGACGGUACCGGAAGAAUAAGCACCGGCUAACUACGUGCCAGCAGCCGCGGUAAUACGUAGGGUGCAAGCGUUAAUCGGAAUUACUGGGCGUAAAGCGUGCGCAGGCGGUUUGCUAAGACCGAUGUGAAAUCCCCGGGCUCAACCUGGGAACUGCAUUGGUGACUGGCAGGCUAGAGUAUGGCAGAGGGGGGUAGAAUUUCACGUGUAGCAGUGAAAUGCGUAGAGAUGUGGAGGAAUACCGAUGGCGAAGGCAGCCCCCUGGGCCAAUACUGACGCUCAUGCACGAAAGCGUGGGGAGCAAACAGGAUUAGAUACCCUGGUAGUCCACGCCCUAAACGAUGUCAACUAGUUGUUGGGGAUUCAUUUCCUUAGUAACGUAGCUAACGCGUGAAGUUGACCGCCUGGGGAGUACGGUCGCAAGAUU
rnacentral:rRNA from 1 species